CCUACGGGAGGCAGCAGUAGGGAAUUUUCGUCAAUGGGGGCAACCCUGAACGAGCAAUGCCGCGUGAGCGAAGAAGGUCUUCGGAUUGUAAAGCUCUGUUGCCGGGGAAAAAGGAAGGAAAGAGGAAAUGCUUUUCUUUGGAUGGUACCCGGCCAGAAAGUCACGGCUAACUACGUGCCAGCAGCCGCGGUAAU
rnacentral:rRNA from 1 species